rnacentral:rRNA from 1 species
AUUGAACGCUGGCGGCAUGCUUUACACAUGCAAGUCGAACGGCAGCACGGGGGCAACCCUGGUGGCGAGUGGCGAACGGGUGAGUAAUAUAUCGGAACAUGUCCGGAAGUGGGGGAUAACGUAGCGAAAGUUACGCUAAUACCGCAUAUGCCCUGAGGGGGAAAGGGGGGGAUCGCAAGACCUCCCGCUUUCGGAGUGGCCGAUAUCAGAUUAGCUAGUUGGUGGGGUAAAGGCCUACCAAGGCAACGAUCUGUAGCUGGUCUGAGAGGACGACCAGCCACACUGGGACUGAGACACGGCCCAGACUCCUACGGGAGGCAGCAGUGGGGAAUUUUGGACAAUGGGGGCAACCCUGAUCCAGCCAUGCCGCGUGAGUGAAGAAGGCCUUCGGGUUGUAAAGCUCUUUCGGACAGAAAGAAAUCGUGCAGAAUAAUACUCUGUAUGGAUGACGGUACUGUAAGAAGAAGCACCGGCUAACUACGUGCCAGCAGCCGCCGCAG